CCUGCCCCCUCCCUCUCCCUCCCUCCCUUACUCUCCGCCUUCAGCAGCUUUGUUGGGCGAUUUCUUUCCUAUUUAGACUUGGCUUUAGCACAGGGAUCCUCAAACUUUUUAAGUGGAGGGCCGAUUCAUGGUCCCUCAGAUUGUUGAGGGGCCGAAUUAUCAUUUGAAAAAAAAAAUACAAACAAAUUCCUAUGCACACUGCUCAUGUCUUACUUGUAGUGCAAAAAAAAAAUUAGCAUUAUAUAUUACUAUAUUGCACUAUACCAUUAUACCAGGGGUCCUCAAACUUUUUGGAAAGUGGGCCACCCUACUGGGAUCUGCGCGCAUCAUCCCAAAAUACAUCACACAGUCCUAAACACUUGGGACGUGUUCGACUUGUGAUUUUGUGAUACGAAAUCCAGCAUAUCUAUCUUGUUUGCUGUGUCAUAAAAUAAUAAUAAUAAUAAUAAUAAUAAUAAUAAUAAUAAUAAUAAUAAACAUCACACAGUUCUAGACACUUGGGAAGUGUUUGACUUGUGAUUUUGUGAUACGAAAAUCACAAAAGGAAAGGGGGCGGUAGGCCAAAUCAGUUUGGGAACCACUUGUUUAAAUCAAGAAAUAGCUUCCUAAGAUCGACAGAGAUACUCACAGGAACAACUCAGCAAGCAAGAGUCCAAAAGUGGCAGGCUAAAACCCGGAACCUCAACUAGUGGCUGGUAGCAGAUGGGAAACUCCCUCCUGGGCACACAGACCUGGAAGGCGCUGAACACACUCCGGCAUUACGAGAUGCAGAUGAAGAGAAAAGUUUCUACAAAGUGGAGCCCACAACAUUUUCUGUCCAGCUGCCUGAAUCUGAGUGGGAAGCAGAAGAUGAAAUGUCUGUGGAGCAGUCAAUGCAAAAUACGCGAGCUGCCUGGCAUGGGAUUGUGAUCAUCUGGAAUUUGUCCUCCGAGGGGGCUCAGAAAUCUCAUUAGCUCUUGCAGGGGAUGCCGGGAAGGGUAAAUGGAAGUGCAAAGGAAAUCAGAAAAAAGAAUUGGCAUCGCUAUCUCUUUGGGUACUGCAGCAAGCUCACACUUUCCAUACGACCAGAGCGGAAUGCCAGGCACGUGUCUAGAUCUAAAACUAACAAAUAGAACUCAGUAGGACUGUGUCAACACUAUCUUUUGUUUAUCCUUAAAAUUACUGUCACAGUAAAAGAUUGCAAUUGUAAUGGGUUUCUAUGGCAAGUACAUGGUGUGCCGUAACCAAAGAAGAUAUGAGGUGAUCAUGCAGACCACAUCCACAGAGUGCUUCUGAUGCACAGAACUUUUACUAUUGCAUUAUUUACAGCACAGUACUGUCUGUCUGCAUAUUAUUUGUAGCCAUUUAUUUGUUUUGCUUUGUAGAUAUUGCUAUAAUUGAUAUUUGCACUAGCAGCUGUAUGUCACCAGUUUUGCUUUUGUUUACUUUGGUUGGAAUCCUAUUAUUAGGGUCAAACAGAAUAGACAUACUGAAUCACUGGGGUUUACAUAAGCGCUAAUUCAUUAAUCUGUUUGCUGUUCUCUUUAUCGCAACUUCUGGGUAAGAACUCCAAAUAGGGUAGCCGCAAUUGUCCCCCACAUUUCCUGUCCUAUCUCCCUGUGUGACGGCGCAAGUGGCACCAUCUAUAUGUCAAACUGUAAGUUGCAAGAUUUGAAUUGUAUCAUGCCUGAUUUUGCCUUUACCCUGUAAAUGUAGUUGGACUGAUUGGUUAUUUAUAGCUGUCAAUCAAUGUUGUUUGCACCAGUUAUAUUGCUCCCUCAGCUCAAUUGUUUGGCUCCACCUCUUCCUGGAGUAGGACAGUGUUUCCUUUUUCAUUCCACCAUCAAGCUUUCUACUAGAUGGACGUGAGAGAGAGACUUGGCUCUAAAAGCCUUUGAUUAAGUUACCUCUCAGCACCAAUUCUGAGGUUCUUACCCUUGAGACUUAUGCUUCAUGUUCAGGCCAACCUUGAACGACGUUGAGGAGUCUCAAGCACCUUCAGAUCAGUUCUUUGGCACCAUAGGAAGACUCUGUGUCUUCAAACAUAGGCCAUUUGGACUGAGGCUGAGGAUUGCUCCGGCAUUCACAGCCAUUGAGAAAGAGGGACCUGGAAAAGCUUCUCAGCUGCAGAGCUCCUUGGACUGUAAUGUAUAUUUUCCUUUACCCCUUUGAAACUUCCAGCUUAUUGCCUUAAAGGGAUAACCUUUUGUGAACAAUAAAACCAGUUUUGAGUUA